rnacentral:rRNA from 1 species
UACGUAGGAGGCAAGCGUUGUCCGGAUUUACUGGGCGUAAAGCGCGCGCAGGCGGUUUCUUAAGUCUGAUGUGAAAGCCCACGGCUCAACCGUGGAGGGUCAUUGGAAACUGGGGAACUUGAGUGCAGAAGAGAAAAGCGGAAUUCCACGUGUAGCGGUGAAAUGCGUAGAGAUGUGGAGGAACACCAGUGGCGAAGGCGGCUUUUUGGUCUGUAACUGACGCUGAGGCGCGAAAAGCGUGGGGAGCAAACAGG